rnacentral:rRNA from 1 species
UACCGUAGGGUGCAAGCGUUUAAUCGGAAUUACUGGGCGUAAAGCGUGCGUUAGGCGGUUUGUUAAGUCUGUCGUGAAAGCCCUGGGCUCAACCUGGGAAUUGCGAUGGAUACUGGCAAGCUAGAGUACGGUAGAGGAUCGCGGAAUUCCCGGUGUAGAGGUGAAAUUCGUAGAGAUCGGGAGGAACACCUGUGGCGAAGGCGGCCCCCCUGGGCCGGCCCUGACACUGGAGACGCGAAGGCGUGGGGAGCGAACGGG